AUUGAACGCUGGCGGCAGGCCUAACACAUGCAAGUCGAGCGAGCGGCGGACGGGUGAGUAAUGUAUGGGGACUGCCCGAUAGAGGGGGAUAACUACUGGAAACGGUGGCUAAUACCGCAUAAUACCGGAUAACCCAUAUGGGAGGAGCUAGUAGGUGGGGUAAAGGCGCACCUAGGCGACGCUCUCGAGCUGGUCUGAGAGGAUGAUCAGCCACACUGGGACUGAGACACGGCCCAGACUCCUACGGAGGCAGCAGUGGGGAAUAUUGCAGAAUGGGCGAAAGCCUGAUGCAGCAAUGCCGCGUGUGUGAAGAAGGCCUUAGGUUUGUAAAGUACUUUCAGCGGGGAGGCGUUACCCGCAGAAGAAGCACCGGCUAACGCCGUGCCAGCCGCCGCGGUAAUUC
rnacentral:rRNA from 1 species